rnacentral:rRNA from 1 species
ACCCGCUGAACUUAAGCAUAUCAAUAAGCGGAGGAAAAGAAACUAACAAGGAUUCCCCUAGUAACUGCGAGUGAACCGGGAAAAGCUCAAAUUUAAAAUCUGGCAGUCUUCGAUUGUCCGAGUUGUAAUUUCGAGAAGUGUUUUCCGCGCUGGACCGUAUACAAGUUUCCUGGAAUGGAACGUCAUAGAGGGUGAGAAUCCCGUCUUUGAUACGGACUACCAUGUGCUUUUGUGAUACGCUCUCAACGAGUCGAGUUGUUUGGGAAUGCAGCUCAAAAUGGGUGGUAAAUUCCAUCUAAAGCUAAAUAUUGGCGAGAGACCGAUAGCGAACAAGUACCGUGAGGGAAAGAUGAAAAGAACUUUGGAAAGAGAGUUAAACAGUACGUGAAAUUGCUUAAAGGGAAACGCUUGAAGUCAGUCGCGUUGUCUGGGGAUCAGCCUUGCAUUUAUGCUUGGUGUACUUCCUAGUUAACGGGUCAACAUCAGUUUCGACCGCUGGAAAAAGGUGAAGGAAAUGUGGCAUCACUUGUGGUGUGUUAUAGUCUUUCAUUGUAUACAGCGAUUGGGACUGAGGAACUCAGCACGCCUUUAUGGUCGGGAUUUAUCCACGUAACGUGCUUAGGAUGUUGGCAUAAUGGCUUUAAUCGACCCGUCUUGAAACACGG